UGGCGGAAUGCUUUACACAUGCAAGUCGAACGGCAGCACGGACUUCGGUCUGGUGGCGAGUGGCGAACGGGUGAGUAACAUAUCGGAACGUAUCCAAUAAUGGGGGAUAACUAAUCGAAAGGUUGGCUAAUACCACAUACGCCCUACGGGGGAAAGCAGGGGAUCUUCGGACCUUGCGUUAAUGGAGCGGCUGAUAUCUGAUUAGCUAGUUGGUGAGGUAAAGGCUCACCAAGGCGACGAUCAGUAGCUGGUCUGAGAGGACGACCAGCCACACUGGAACUGAGACACGGUCCAGACUCCUACGGGAGGCAGCAGUGGGGAAUUUUGGACAAUGGGCGCAAGCCUGAUCCAGCCAUUCCGCGUGAGUGAAGAAGGCCUUCGGGUUGUAAAGCUCUUUCGCAAGGGAAGAAAACUUACCUUUUAAUAAAGGGUGAGGUUGACGGUACCUUGAUAAGAAGCACCGGCUAACUACGUGCCAGCAGCCGCGGUAAUACGUAGGGUGCGAGCGUUAAUCGGAAUUACUGGGCGUAAAGCGUGCGCAGGCGGUUUUGUAAGUCAGAUGUGAAAUCCCCGAGCUCAACUUGGGAACUGCGUUUGAAACUACAAGACUAGAAUAUGUCAGAGGGGGGUAGAAUUCCACGUGUAGCAGUGAAAUGCGUAGAGAUGUGGAGGAAUACCAAUGGCGAAGGCAGCCCCCUGGGAUAAUAUUGACGCUCAUGCACGAAAGCGUGGGGAGCAAACAGGAUUAGAUACCCUGGUAGUCCACGCCCUAAACGAUGUCUACUAGUUGUUGGUGGAGUAAAAUCCAUGAGUAACGCAGCUAACGCGUGAAGUAGACCGCCUGGGGAGUACGGUCGCAAGAUUA
rnacentral:rRNA from 1 species